rnacentral:rRNA from 1 species
AAGGUUGAACGGCCGCGGUAUUCUGACCGUGCAAAGGUGCUAUCACUUGUUUCUUAAUUAGGGACUAGAAUGAAUGGCGAAACGAGGGUUUAACUGUCUCUUAUUUUUCAUCAGUGAAAUUGACCUUCCCGUGAAGAGGCGGGAAUACAUAAAUAAGACGAGAAGACCCUAUGGAGCUUUAAUUUACUAACUCACUUCUUUCAUUCCAUCAAUCUAAUGAACCAACACUUAGACUAUGAGUUAAAAAUUUCGGUUGGGGCGACCUCGGAGAACAAAAAAACCUCCGAAAGAUUUUAGCCUAGACUUACAAGUCAAAGCAUAUAAAAUAAUCAAAUUGACCCAAUUAAUUGAUCAACGAACCAAGUUACCCUAGGGAUAACAGCGCUAUCCUAUUUGAGAGUUCCUAUCGAAAAUUAGGGUUUACGACCUCGAUGUUGGAUCGGAUAUCCUAA